rnacentral:ncRNA from 1 species
AAGCUAGGGGCGCCGCAAGGCUGAGAAAGCGUUUGGAUUCGCGCUUGUCCCUCAUGUACCUGAUUCGGAUAAUGCCGACGUAGGGAAGCU